GAAAUGCGAUAAGUAAUGUGAAUUGCAGAAUUCAGUGAAUCAUCGAAUCUUUGAACGCACAUUGCGCCCGCCAGUACUCUGGCGGGCAUGCCUGUCCGAGCGUCAUUUCAACCCUCGAGCCCGCCUCGGUGUUGGGAGAUGGCCCUGCGCCACCCCGAAAUGCAGUGGCGACCCCGCCGCGCCCCCCUGCGCAGUAGCUCCCAGAGAACCUCGCACCGGAAGCGCGGAGGCGGUCACGCCGUUAAACGACCCCCUUAGAGUUGACCUCGGAUCAGGUAGGGAUACCCGCUGAACUUAA
rnacentral:misc_RNA from 1 species